GCCGAUGUAGCUCAGUGGUAGAGCAGCGCAUUCGUAAUGCGCCGGUCGGGGGUUCAAAUCCCUUCAUCGGCUCCA
rnacentral:tRNA from 1 species